rfam:Brachypodium distachyon strain Bd21 chromosome 1, whole genome shotgun sequence.
UUUGCACUUUCUCCGUCCAACAAAAGAUGUCUCAAGUUUGUCAAAAUUUAGAUGUAUCUAGACAUGACUUAAUAUAAAGAUGCAUUACAAUUUGGUCAAACUUGAGACAUCCUUUGUUUGACGGAGGGAGUAUAUA